rnacentral:lncRNA from 1 species
UUUUUUUUUUAAAUCUUUCUUUGUGUUUAGUAAAUCACAAAGCAAAGCUGCACAUUUCUGGGUUAAAUAUUUCAAAAGUUUGACUUAAUAUGUACAUUUUUCAACCUCAGCAAAAAAGCAUCAGAAAUUGAAAGCCUUACACGUUUUGAUUUGAUUUGAUUUGAAAUGGUUUAUUUCAAGCAAUUAAGUAGAAAUAAUACACCAAAGCAAUAUAAUCAUCAGUUAUACAUUCAUACAGUAACUAAUCAAAUGUAGGAUAAUUAGACAUAUUAAUAAAUAUUGCUUGAAAGGGAGUGGAAGGAAGCAAACUUAUAUAAUAAAAUAUACUAUGUUAAAAACAAACUAAACACCUUCAGCCAAAUUCUAGAGCAACAUCUGGAAAUAACUUUCUCUUACUGCAUCCUCCCACCCCGCUUCUCAAUUUGUCUUUUUCUGUCUCCAGUUGUAAAAAUUCUCAUCUUCAUGUUUAAAAUGAAAAUGUUCUUCUUAAUGUUUUCCUUGAACAUGAAGCAGAGGCUCUGUGAAACCUAAACUAUAUCCUCCAAGUCUAUGAAAGCACAA